UACGCCAUCAUUCAUAUGGGGUUCGCCUUUUCCACAUCUUCCCUAAAAUAACGAGUGCUAAUUAUUAGUACUACUGCAUGUUAAACAUCUCACCUUCAACGUCUUCAAUUGUUAUGGCCAGAAAUCACGGACAUGAUUAUUCUACUUCCUUACCAACUUUGCAUAUCAUUAAUACAUAACCCGUUGAAAUAUGACUUCGGUAGUAAACAGUAAAUUAUAUUACGCGAUGCUUUAUUGAAUCGCAAAAUCAGGGAAUAUUGGUAGGUCGUGCAAGUUGCCUCGAUUGCUGGUUGCAGAACACGAUCUGUUGAAAUAUAUCGUGUGUUGUUUGCCUGGUGUAAGUUACUGCCUAUUCUGCAUUUUCAUUUGUUUCUAGUGGCAAUAGUGCGGUAUUCUUAUAUAUAUAGAGUUAAAUAGACAAAUUCCGUACAAACUAACCUCUGUACAAAUGCGGAAAAUGCUGAAUAGUCGCCACCUAAAAUCAAGUCAACAUUGCGCUAAAUACUUCGACAGACUUUCAUUUAUAGCCAGCGACUGAGGCAAGUUGCAAACGACCUACCAUAUUCUCUGAUUUUGGGAUUUACAGCAUCGCGUAAUAUAAUUUACUGUUUACUGCAGAAGCCAUAUUUCAAAGUGAUAGGCUAUGCAAAUUUACGAAAAAAGUAGAAUAAAUCAUGUCCGUGAUUUCUGGCCAUGGUUGUUCUUUUCAUAUUACAGACUGGAUGCAUCAUGUAUAUC